UUUUAUUUAUUUGUCGGUGUGUCUUAGUUCUUCUUCCUCGAUGUUUAAUCAGGCCGAAAUUUGUUCUUCUCCUAAAGAGGUUGAGAUUCCCGUCAAACCUGGUUGGCUGCUUCUUCAGGGCUCAACUGGUAUCCCUGCGGAAGUGUAAAUAGCUUGCAUGAGAGAUGCCACGGACAAAAAAAAACAGUCUUGGUCCUAAACAGAUUAAUCCCCUGGUUAGUGAACUUCAGGAUAUUUACUGUCCUUUUUAUGAUAUUACUUACAAAACUGGGGAACUGUUUUGUUUCAUGUAUGUUAACUACUGAUCUCGCUGUAAUGAGUCAUCCUCAGUCAUCAUGGAUUGUACUAUGGAAAAAAGCAAGAAAGAUCUUUUUACCAUCAAAUGCAGUGAACAGAGAUAGAUGAUAUUAUAGAGUUUCAUGUAUGGCUGUGAUGCAACAUAGUGCAAUUCAGAGUGGCGUCUCAGACUCCCAGCGGAUCCAAAAAUCAAGUACGCUCCAUAUAUAGUGCAUGCGAAAGAGAGGAGAGUGAUCAGGUACUAUGGACCUAAAUGUGAUUUUUAAUAUAAGGAAAUUAUGAUAGAAUAGGGCCAACGAUUAGUUAUAAUGUUGGGUGGUAAUGGCAUUUGAUGUAAAUAUUCUAGUGAAGAAAGAGUAAUUUGAUUUGUAGGCUGAGAAUGAACGUAGGACUGCCACUUCGUCAUGACAUGCUUGUAAAUACUUUACAUUUUAAAUGUUAUUUUUUCAAAUUG